rnacentral:tRNA from 1 species
UAUAUUUUAGUUAAAAUAAUAACAUUAAAAUGCAAUUUUAAAAUUAAUAAUUAAAUAUAA